UACGAAGGGGGCUAGCGUUGUUCGGAAUCACUGGGCUUAAAGGGCGCGUAGGCGGGCUGUCAAGUCUGGGGUGAAAUCCCGCGGCUCAACCGUGGAACUGCCUCAGAUACUGACGGUCUCGAGGGAGGUAGGGGCGAGCGGAACUGAUGGUGGAGCGGUGAAAUGCGCAGAUAUCUGGAGGAACACCGGUGGCGAAGGCGGCAUUCUGGACCGAUAUUGACGCUGAGGAGCGAAAGCCAGGGGAGCAAACGGG
rnacentral:rRNA from 1 species